AUUGAACGCUGGCGGCAUGCCUUACACAUGCAAGUCGAACGGCAGUACGGGAGCAGUCCUGGUGGCGAGUGGCGAACGGGUGAGUAAAGUAUCGGAACGUGCCCAGUCGUGGGGGAUAACGUAGCGAAAGUUACGCUAAUACCGCAUACGAUCUAUGGAUGAAAGCGGGGGAUCGCAAGACCUCGCGCGAUUGGAGCGGCCGAUAUCAGAUUAGGUAGUUGGUGGGGUAAAGGCUCACCAAGCCGACGAUCUGUAGCUGGUCUGAGAGGACGAACAGCCACACUGGGACUGAGACACGGCCCAGAAUCCUACGGGAGGCAGCAGUGGGGAAUUUUGGACAAUGGGCGAAAGCCUGAUCCAGCCAUGCCGCGUGCAGGAUGAAGGCCUUCGGGUUGUAAACUGCUUUUGUACGGAACGAAAAGGUUUGGCCUAAUAAGCUGAGCUCAUGACGGUACCGUAAGAAUAAGCACCGGCUAACUACGUGCCAGCCGCCGCCGUAA
rnacentral:rRNA from 1 species